rnacentral:tRNA from 5 species
UUUCACUUGGCGAAAUGGUAAACGCAAAAGAUUUAAAAUCUUUUUCUCAUACGGGAUUUCUGGUUCAAGUCCAGAAGUGAAAA